UUGAAUGCUGACGGCGUGGAUGAGGCAUGCAAGUCGAACGAGAGAGUCACUUCGGUGACAAUCUAGUGGCGAAAGGGUUAGUAAUACAUGGGUAACCUACCUUUAACUCCGGAAUAACAGAUGGAAACACCUGCUAAUACCGGAUGAGGUGUUGUUAGGACAUCCUAAUAACAUUAAAGAGGGGGAUCUUCGGACCUCUCGGUUAAAGAGGGGCCCAUGGGAUAUCAGCUUGUUGGUGCGGUAAGAGCGCACCAAGGCUAAGACGUCUAGGCGGAUUGAGAGGUUGACCGCCAACACUGGGACUGAGAUACUGCCCAGACUCCUACGGGAGGCUGCAGUCGAGAAUCAUUCGCAAUGGGCGAAAGCCUGACGAUGCGACGCUGUGUGAGCGAAGAAGGCCUUCGGGUUGUAAAGCUCUUUCGCCUGGGAAUAAGGGAUACAAGUUAAUAGCUCGCUUAUUUGAAGGUACCAGGUAAAGAAGCACCGGCUAACUCCGUGGCAGCAACUGCGGUAAUACGGAAGGUGCCAGCAUUAAUCGGAUUUAUUGGGCCUAAAGGGUGCGCAGGCGGUCUUACAAGUCAGAUGUGAAAUACCGGGGCUCAACCCCGGUGCUGCCUUUGAAACUGUAAGAAUAGAGGAUAAGCGGAGAAAGCCGAAUUUCCCCAAGUAGCGGUGAAAUGGGGAGAUAUGGGGGAGGAACAACCCGUGGCGAAGGCGGCUUUUUAGCUUUACUCCUGACGCUGAGGCGCGAAAGCAAGGGGAGCAAACAGGAUUAGAUACCCUGGUAGUCCUUGCCGUAAACGAUGCAUACUAGGUGUAGUUGGACUCAACCCCGACUGUGCCGGAGCUAACGUAUUAAGUAUGCCGCCUGGGGAGUACGCUCGCAAGGGUGAAACUCAAAAGAAUUGACGGGGACCCGCACAAGCAGUGGAGCAUGUGGUUUAAUUCGAUGCAACGCGAAGAACCUUACCCAGACUUGACAUGUAGUGGACCGCCAUAGAAAUGGCGUUUCCCUUCGGGGCCGCUACACAGGUGCUGCAUGGCUGUCGUCAGCUCGUGCCGUGAGGUGUUGGGUUAAGUCCCGCAACGAGCGCAACCCUUAUCGUUAGUUGCCAGCACGUAAUGGUGGGAACUCUAGCGAGACUGCCUAGGUUAACUAGGAGGAAGGUGAGGAUGACGUCAAGUCCGCAUGGCCCUUAUGUCUGGGGCUACACACGUGCUACAAUGGUCGGUACAAAAGGCAGCGAAGCCGCAAGGUGGAGCAAAUCCUUAAAGUUGGUCUCAGUUCGGAUUGAGGUCUGCAACUCGACCUCAUGAAGCCGGAAUUGCUAGUAAUGGCGUGUCAGCAACAACGCCGUGAAUACGUUCCCGGGUCUUGUACACACCGCCCGUCACAUCAUGGGAGUUGGUUUUGCCCGAAGU
rnacentral:rRNA from 1 species